AAAGUUAAAAUUUUAAAUUUAAAAAUAUAUAUUUAAAAUUUUAAAAAUUUAAAUUCAAAUAUAAUAAGAGGAUAAUAUGAUUAUUUUUUAUUUAUAAAACCCACUAUCUUUCUUAUUCCAUCUUACCUAACCAAACGCUAUUUUUUUUAUUCCCAGAAAUAACCCAAUUUUCAUCCAAACGCAAAAUUGAUCUAAUCCCCGCUUAUAUCUCAAUUUAUACCUAUCCCUGUAAUAG
rnacentral:lncRNA from 1 species